AAUGCCCCAGAGGUGGUCUGCUGUAGGCCUUUCAUUUUCUGUGUUGUUGCAAAUAGAGCCGGUAGCCACUAGAGGGGAGGAGACUGCUGGCUUUCCCCAAGCGUUUCCACCGUAGAACAUGAAGGUGAAGAAGCUGUCACAGAACCGGUUGCCCAAGAAAAAGCUUUUAAAAGAUGGUGGGAUGAAGUUGUUCUUGAGUGACUCCAACUUUCCCUGGUGUCUAGCCAAUUGAACUCAUCUCCGUGUGAAUGUCUGCAUUACUACAACCACUAAGGUGAAGACACAUCUGUUUGUCCAGGCCUUUGGGAAGCCCUGAGGUGCAUUGGAUGCUGAGAGUAAUCUGCAUUUGCUGUUGCUGCUUUUUGGUUUUAUCGCUGUGAUUUAAUUUUAUUGUGAUUUAUAUUUUUCCACCUGUCUUUUUAUCCAUUUUCAUAUUGCUAUUUUUCAUGUAUCUGUAUUUCCUGCCCUGAGACACUGAAGCAGAGGGCAGAUUGCACGUGAUCUUAAUGAUGAAGUGCAAUAAAAUAUUUGGAGAAAAGUCUGCAAAGAGGCCUUCUUCUAAUGGUUUGAGGAAAAAGAAAAAUCUCAGAACUUUUCUCAGAAAAACAUCUUGACCCAGUUCUAGUUUUGAUCACAGAUGCCUGAACUGUCACCCCUGCCAUUCCCUCUUCUUUCCUGCAGUGUGGAUUAUGAAUUUGAAGUGACACGAAUACUUAAUUUGUACAGGACAGGUUUGCUGAAAGACUACAGAGGGGUUAAUUUAGAGCAAAUAAAUAACUUACACUAAUAUCAGCUGCAGUGGCACAAGACUGUUGCGACUUGGUUCUUUUGGCCAGAUAUCCCCAUUGGCCAGAUAGCAAUGAAGCUAUGUUGAAGAGCUUAUCAAGAUCUGAAUUGCAGUACAUCUGUAGUAUUCCAUGAAACUGGCUUUUGCCUUAGAUGACCAUGGUUUUAAGUAUGCCAUCUGGGGAAUCUGUGGCUCUGCCCUUCAUUUUAGCGGCUUGUCAUGUGGUGCCCAAACUAGGAUCUUCACUGGUUGGAAGAAGGCUCCUCAAUCUUUGGAGACCCAUGGGGACAUUUGGAAACCUGAGAAACUGUUGGGGGAGACCUCAGUCUAUAGCUGCAAAUGUAGCCCCUUCUACACUGCAACUCCUCCUCAUCCCAUAUGUCAGUGUUUAGAUGAGAGGUCACCAACAUCUCUGGAAACCUGAGAAACCUGACUGUUGGGGCAACAUCUCGCACUGCAACCUCGGCUGCUGCAUCAUAAGGCAAAACAGGACCAGGACAAUGUGGGGAAUCUAUGUUGGCCCCAGGCACUCCAUGCUCUACAUCUGGAAUUGGGCUUGAACAAUCAAGGACAAGUGAGGAUGCAUGGAGGGCGAAUUGAAAAGCACAAUUUGUGACAUUGCACAACAUCAUUACUAGUCAUGGGUCUGCUAAGGCAUUAAAUGUAGUUUCCAAUAUACCAGCUUUGUGGCAUUCGAGCCUUAUAUACGUUGAUCACUGAAAGCAUCUCUAUAUAAACACACACUAAAAGAAUGUGAAAUUUUUAACUACAAUUUUAAACUUUUUAUUUGAUCAGCCUCUCGGAAAAUGCUUCCAGAGCCAUUUUAAAAAGAUCUGUUCAAACAAAAAUCAGUUCAAAUAUAUUAGGAUUGUGUUUCUCUUAAUUGCAAUGAUAUCAUCAAAUCAAAUAAUAUAGUUGAUGAGCAUUAAAGCAAUAAAGUACAAAAGAAAACAAAUGGAUUGUGAUGAGAAAGCUAUAGCUGCAGUUUUGUUUUGCUUUUUUUAUAAAAAAUAUGAAUCUAAGGAAAGCACAUGAAAUGUCCUUCAACAUCUGAAAGAAAUAAAAAAAUGCCAACAGAUUGCCAUCAGAUCUAUUUGGUUUAUCUAUUAAAAAAAAGUUUUCUACAUAUUUCUUUGGGGAAUAGUUUAACAAAUGGUACAUAGGGUUUGUGCAACACAACUGUAAACAGACAUGUAAUUCACCUGGCUUGUAAUCUGCUCUUUGUUCAUGCUUAAAGAACAAAACCAAAUGAAAAAGUAUGCAAUUUGUAACAGAGCAGAGAAAAAUAGAUUCAAAGACUGAUUGAAAUGUGUUUUAUGAAUCUUC